ACUCGGGGAGGGCUCUGGGGUUAAUUUCGGUCUGGGGUCUCAGGGCACUCGGGGAGGGCUCUAAGGUUGAUUUGGGUCUCGGGUCUCAGGAUACUGGGGCGGGCUCUAGAGUAAAUAUGGGUCUGGGGUUUCAGGGUACGAGGAGGGCUCUGGGGUUAAUUUGGGUCUGGUAAUUCAGGGCACUCGUGGAGGACUCUAGAGUUAAUUUGGGUCUGGGGUCUCAGGGCACUCGGGAGGGCUCUGGGGUUAAUUUGGGUCUGGGGUCUCAGGAUACUCGGGAGGGCUCUGGGGUUGAUUUGGGUCUGGGGUCUCAGGAUACUCGGGGAGGGCUCUGGGGUUAAUUUGGGUCUGCGGUCUCAGAACACCCAGAGAAGGGGUUUAGGGUUAUCUUGGGUCUGGGGUCUCAGGGCUCUGAGGGAGGGCUCUGGGAUUAAUUUGGGUCAGGGGUCUCAGUGCACUCGGGGACGGCUCUGGUGUUAAUUUGAGUCUGGGUUCUCAGGAUAGUUGGGAGGGAUC
rnacentral:lncRNA from 12 species